UCGUUAUCAGUAUGUUAAAUCUUAAAUGUGACCUGGUGGCAUUAUUGCGUGAAUGCUUUGCACACUUAAUGAAUAAGGUCCUCAAGUGUGUAGAGUUUCGCUGAGUUCGUUGUUUAUUUACAUUUUCCUCAGCAUAACUGUACAGCUGACACCGCUGCCUUCUGUAUCAUAACAAAGCCUGUCACUUCCACGUUUCGUUCUUUUUAUGUGACCGAAGUCACUGGCUACUGCACCAGAGAGGGCCUCUGCACUCAUUGCUGGUCCUAUGAUGCCAUCUAUUGGCGAUAACGUGCAACAGCAUAAUUAAACUAAAAGACAACUUCUGACAGGACAACAAAAAGACAGGGAAUGAGAAUAAGGGAAUAACAAAAAGACAAAAAUGGGGGGUCCACUACACUUGCAUACAAACUGAUUGUGAUGCUGUCACUCAUUUUCUAGUCUAUAUCUUGGACUGAAAAAGGAUUACAUUAUUAUGUUUCAGGUGUUUUGCCCCUGCGGUUGUGAGGAGGAUGCUGUGUAGGUGGCAGCGUGAACGUGUCACACAGACAUUGGCUAAACUACUCGGCAAACAACAAACCACACUUCACCUGGAAAACAGAGCCAGGACUCACUGUCAGAUGUCUGCAAAUGUACAGUAGGCUACACGCCAGCAGGUCUCACCAUAGUCAGCAUCAUCAAGGAUUGUCACUCCGACCUGAGAAGAGGCCCCAUAGAGACACGGACAAGGACCAGCCACUGUUGCCAGUGCACAACUGAGGACCCGACCAGCCUGCUGCCAUCUAUGAUACUAUAUAGUACCCGUGGAGCGGUCUGAAGACGUGGAGUACACUGCAGCAGGUAUCACAUGACCAAGGACUUGGACAACGUCUCUGCUUACAUCUAUAGUGUAUUACACAACUGAAGAUGUACAGUACGCUGCUGCCUGCAUCCUGCCACCACAGAGGAUCCGAUAUGCGAACCAGCUUCAAAAACCAUUGCAAUUAUGAAACACAGUUAAUAAAUGCUUAUAUACAGCAGCCCACACAUUUUGUUUAAUUUGUAAUAUUGGUUAACACACUAUUGUUACAACUGUUUAGAUCGGUGUUUCCCAACCAGGGGUACAUGUACCACUAGGGGUACGUGAACACAAUGCAGGUGGUACAUGCAUUGGCAGGUAUCAAUAAAAAGAAAUGUAUGGAGCAUAAUCAUAUUGGGAUAGAGGAAGAUAUACAGUAGACUAGAGCAUGAGGGAGGGGGUACUCAUGGUAUGACAAAAAUGCUUAGGGGGUACAUGAGACAAAAAAAAAAAGUUGGGAGACACUGUGUGAUUGAAGUAAUGCAUUUCUUACAAGCUUGGGGAAGAAUGUCCACUCCAUGAUUUGCAAGUUUAAAAAGCAGAACAUAAGGGUGAAUAUUUCAUUUUAAUCUUGAUGUCAUGCACACAAAACACCCAGA